rnacentral:rRNA from 1 species
GACAGAGGGUGCAAACGUUGCUCGGAUUUACUGGGCGUAAAGCGCAUGUAGGCGGGCGAUUAAGUCGGGGUGUGAAAUCCCUGGGCUCAACCUAGGAACUGCAUCCGAAACUGAUCACCUUGAGUAGUGGAGAGGAAAGCGGAAUUCCGGGUGUAGAGGUGAAAUUCGUAGAUAUCCGGAGGAACACCAGUGGCGAAGGCGCUUUCUGGACACUACUGACGCUGAGAUGCGGAAAGCGUGGGGGAGCAAACAGG